GCCAGUGUGGUAUAGUGAUUUUAGUGUUAAGACUAGGACUCAGGAGAUCAGGGUUCAAUUCCCUGCUCUGUCA